rnacentral:rRNA from 1 species
GAUGCUAUUCUAGAGAUAGAAAGUUACUUCGGUACAUCGGUGACAGGUGGUGCGAUGGUUGUCGUCAGCUCGUGUCGUGAGAUGUUGGGUUAAGUCCCGCAACGAGCGCAACCCCUAUUGUUAGUUGCCAUCAUUCAGUUGGGCACUCUAGCGAGACUGCCGGUAAUAAACCGGAGGAAGGUGGGGAUGACGUCAAAUCAUCAUGCCCCUUAUGACCUGGGCUACACACGUGCUACAAUGGUUGGUACAACGAGUUGCGAGUCGGUGACGGCGAGCUAAUCUCUUAAAGCCAAUCUCAGUUCGGAUUGUAGGCUGCAACUCGCCUACAUGAAGUCGGAAUCGCUAGUAAUCGCGGAUCAGCACGCCGCGGUGAAUACGUUCCCGGGCCUU